rnacentral:rRNA from 1 species
AACGAACGCUGGCGGCAUGCCUAACACAUGCAAGUCGAACGAGAACUUCGGGUCUAGUUGCGCACGGGUGCGUAACGCGUGAGAACUUGCCUUUCGGUUCGGUAUCACACCCCGUACGGGGUGCUAAUACCGGAUAAUGUUUUCGGAUCAAAGAUUUACCGCUUUUGGAUGUGGCGGCGUUGGAUUAGCUAGUUGGUAGGGUAAAAGCCUACCAAGGCGACGAUCCAGAGCUGGUUUGAGGGGAUGAUCAGCCACACUUGGACUGAGACACGACCGAGGGGCCUACGGGAGGAAGCGGUGAAGAAUAUUGGACAGUGGGCGAGAGCCUGAUGCAGGAAUGCCGCGUGAGAGAUGAAGUCCUUAGGGUUGUAGGGCUCUUUUGCCCGGGAUGAUAAUGACAGUACCGGGAGAAUAAGCGCCGGCUAACUCCGUG